UUCAUUAGAGACUAAAUGAAAGCAUUCAUUGAUUAAUAAGAAAAGUAUUAAAGGAAAUGUGUUAUUACUUUCUAUAUUAUAAAAUAAUUUUGAUAUAUUGCAAAUUUUAUUAUGACCAUUGCCCUAGAUUCUCACAUGAGCGAGCUCUGCUUUCAGCUGUAUGUGCACACGCAUACAGUUGAAAGCUUCCUGUCAGUUGGCUGUCCAGGCAUGCUUGGAGUUCAAGUUUUGCAACAUUUAGGGCCAGUUUGAGAUCCCUGGUGUAAGCCAUAUGCUGCCUACACUGAAAGGAGAACCGUGACCUCAACCGCGACGUCACUUAUUGGUGCCUGCACUGUGGGGGGAAAAAAACGCAUGGCCAGCCUGCAUAGGACAUGAGCUUCUGUUAGGAUCUGAUAAAACCAAUCCAUUAGGGAUCUGUCAGAAAAGAAAGCCUUGACUUCAGCAUGAACAGAGGCUUAGAGGUAAAACUGGGUUAUGGGCUUAAUCCAUACUUGUGUAUUUAGAUAAAUAUUUAGCAUCAGUAUUUGUCUACAGAAAGUCAGGAGUGGAACAUUUACAGGAGGAAAGUAUAUUGGAAAGAUCUCCAUCUCUUCAGUAUUUCAGAACAAAACAGUUACAGCUAAAGGGCUUUUUAUAUGCAGCCAUUAUCGAGUACAGACAAUUAAUUCCCCAUGUAAAACGCUUGGCUUGCCAGCUGAUCGUAUAAAU